rnacentral:rRNA from 1 species
UAGGGAAUCUUCCACAAUGGACGAAAGUCUGAUGGAGCAACGCCGCGUGAGUGAAGAAGGGUUUCGGCUCGUAAAACUCUGUUGUUAAAGAAGAACAUAUCUGAGAGUAACUGUUCAGGUAUUGACGGUAUUUAACCAGAAGCCACGGCUAACUACGUGCCACCAG